GCCGGGCGGCCGCGGUGCGGGGCGGGGGUGGUUCCUGCGUGGGCCCCGGGGCUGUGGGUUUCUGCCCCCCUCCUCUUCUGUGUGUUUAAUUUUCGUGACAGCCCUGGAGGCGGGUCUGGCCCGCGCCCCGUUUCCUGAUCGAUCGUGCGUUAAGUUGGGCUUUCUCCUCGGCUACGUGCGAUUUUAAAGCAGUUAAAUCAGUAAUACACACUUGUUAUGGCCAAACCUGUCCAGAUAUCCCCCAUCUGAACUUUAGCUGUUACAGAUCUCGGAGUUCAGUGAGAAUUAAGCCUGUGACACCGCAGAGAUAAUUCAGCGUGUGGUGGAGGCCGCUGUGUAAGCUUGGUGGUGGCUUCAUGGUUACUAGAAGAUUAAAUUUGCAGGAUAUGGGCCAUAUAAAUUGCAUUGCAGUUUCCGGCUGCUUUCCUCAAACAUCAAUUGCACAAAGUUUAUGAAUAAAAAUAAAGAUGCCAUGCACCGUUAGGGUUGCAGUGGGAUAUCUGCAGGAGCUGAGCAUCUGCACUGACUCCAGGGGAAUGUUUGAAAGCGUGAAUGGUAAAAUGUGAUGUCACCAGUUUUCCUUUUAUUUUCCUGAGUAUUGACUAUUAUGAAAAAACUGAUGCUCUGUGGCAUUUCCUGCUUACUUUUGCAUUCGAUGUGCACAAUCACAUUUGAUCAUGCAAGGAAGGAGUUUUCGUUAGGAGAGUGGAGUUUUCAGUGCGGCCUGUCCUUCCCCACACGGGUGUGGAUGUAAGCUGAAGAAGGGCUUUUUUCCUUGCAGCAUUUCUAAUCUUAAAACUAUGUUAGCCAGCUCUAGUGAGAGGGCAUUCUCUGACAGGAGAAACCUGUCAAGUCCCUGCCUCAGCUUCACAGGAGGAUCAAGUGAUAGGCUCCCUACAAUCAUCCCCUUGGAAGUGCUUCCCCCUGCACUAUAAAUGACAUGACCUUUUCAAUCAGAUCUAGACUACCAGAUUUGCCGGGAGGUCAUAAACUUCAAAAUGGUCAUUUGAUUUUAAGUAUUACCAUUUUCUGGUUUUUAGUUCUGUUAUUUUAGUUCUAGUCUAUUGGUUUCAUCCAAGUCCUUGGCCCUUUAGUGUGUUUUUCUUAAAUCAUAUUGUCAAAAAACUCAACACCUCUGUCUUCAGCAGAAUGUAAGAAUACCAAUAGUUACUGCAUGAAGAAAUACAUAUUAAAUUAUUGUAUGAUUACAUACAUCAUUGUUUUUAUUAAGCACUCAGUGUGUGUUCAGUGCAGCAUAAAUAUUAAACAAGAUUAUUCUCCCCCUGGUGAGUUUACAGCCUGAAAGAUCUUCAUAGGAAGAUUAAAACACCACCUUUAAAUUAUUCUCUUUUUGUUUCCCUGUGGUUAACACUCAUUUGCUGUUGAUCAUGACUGGUGUAUCCUGGCAUGUCCUGUAGUGCUGUUUGAUGAUGUUACAGACCCCAGUUGUCCACUCUAACGCUCUGUGAGAAGUUCUUGUUCAGCACACGUGGAAGGAGAGCAUAUGUCCCUGCUUCAGCUGCUGCCAUACAGAGCCCAGCAGCAUAGCUGAGACCCACCUUUGAUGGUACUCCAGGCUGAGACUUUGGUUGUUGUAUCAAAGCACCAUUCCCUUCUGCCACCUCGGCUUCCUGUGAGGACAGCUGGAAACACUCAUGUCUUUAACAGCUGCAGCAAGAUUCUAUGAAGCUCCUGUGUUAAAGCUCUGAGAGAAGAGACUCCGCAAAUGGAAAGAGUGGCGUCCAGUUUUCACUGAUUUCUGCUGGAUUUAGGUUCAGUCCCCAGAGGAUAUGACAGGAAGCAAGAGGUCUGACGUGGGGACAUCUUUCUGCUGCAGCUGUAACAAUGAGAAAGGCUGACCCAAGUCACACCAAAAGUCCAGGUAACCUGGUGCCCUGCAGUUCCCUACAGUGGAAAUAUAAGGAGAGAGCAGUUACAGUAUAAUUUCUCCUCCUAUUUACCAGUUCAACCUCUGAUUAUCUAAAGAUGGAAUUGGAGGCUCUCUCCAUUUCUCUGCAAAGCAGCUUGUUUUUCUGUGAAUUUGUCUAGGAACUUCUUGCAACCCUAAGUAUUUUUGGCAUCUAAAAGAUCUCAUGAUGAUGAAUUAUUCAAAUUAAGCAGAUGUUGUUUAAAUAGUACUUCCUUUUGCUUAUCUUACACUUCCAUUUGAAAAAAAUAUUAUUAGAUUCAUCGUUGUUCUCAUAAGAAAUGAGUAAUUGUUCCCUGUUCACCUUUCCCAUGUCAGACUUGAUUUUUGAUACCUUUUUACAUCUCCCAUUUCUCAUCUAUUUUCUAAGUAGUUCCAGAGUAAUUGAUCUAUCUUAGAAGGUAUUCAGUCUUUGUGAUCAAUCUGGUCACUCUUUUUCCUGUUUUUUCAUGGUUUUCCAAUGCUUAAGAUGCUACCACGUGUCAAGAUGCUAUAAGCAGACUUUUGUCUGUAUUAAAGGAAAGAACAUGAUUCCUGAAGAUUUAUAGAGUAGCAUUUUAUUUUAUUGUUGCUUUUUCAUUCUCUUCUGUCCUUAUCAGUCCAAACUGCCUCUCUGAGCAUUGUGAUAACAAUUUCAGAAAACUGUCCAUAGGGACUUCAAAAUAUCUUUGCUGACUGAUAUGAACUAAUUAGGGCCUAUCUACUAUGUUGCACAAGUAGAUUUUUUUUUUCUUCCUUUCAUGGACAUAUGAUCAUUGCAUUUUAGCUGCUGUUUUAUCACCUACUCCAUCUUUAUCAUGAUGUUUCUUUUCUUUUGGCUACUUUGUGUAAGCAGUUUUGGUUUUGAUUUUCGUGAAUAAUUGUGAAUUCCCUAAAAACACUGUCCAAUCCUGUUUCACUUACCACUUGUGAAGAUGUUGUAAAGCUCAGAUGCAUUUGGAAUCUCACUGGUUACUCCCUUUGUGAUCAUUUACCCAUCCAUCUUCCCUUUGAAGUAGUUACCAAUCAGAAAGAGAGCUCACCUCCUCAGCUUUGUAAAACUGUUUGGGGAAAUCUUUAUAUGUGAUUGCUGUAUCCAGGCCGCAUGUUAGAUGUUCUUCACAUCAUGUCCAUAGCUCCUUUAUGGGUCAGACUGGGAAGAUACCCCAAACAUCCUCUGUCUCCCUGUGUGCCACACAUUUGGAUUUCCUUCUGUGGCAAUUAGACUAUGAGGAAAAGCAAGAUGGGGAAUAUGGAUAUUCUCCGUUCAGUCAGAGAGAAAAGGAGCGAGAUUUUGCUAGGCUAAGCCUGGGAAAAAGUCAGCGAGGAAUGUAAACUAUUCAUUAUCUCUCUUUCUGUUCAUAUUGUUUGUAGAUAUGUUCUGCCACCGUGUACUAUUCAUAGUGCACCAAUGGAGUGAAAGGUUUUCACUUUGACACCAAUCAUAUUUCACCUUAGCAAUCCUGGUUAUGAAAGAGGAAUGCUGCUUGUUAAAGUUUUCAUUCUUUGCCUUCUGAUCUUGGAGUCAUCAUUCCCAUCCCUGCCUGAACAGCAACAGGGGGAGGAGAGGAGGAAGAAGAUAGCAGAAGCUGGUACAAACUUGGUCUUCUUCCAAGAGGGAGUUGAUUAAGACUGAGGACUCCAGUGUCCCAGUGUUUAUACAAAGUCUACAUAAGCCAGCUCCUCUUUAUCAAUAUUUGCUGACUUUGCUGACAUUUUUAAAGCACUUCCAGGUUUGCAGUUUCUGCUUCUUCUCAUUACAUGGUGGUGAGCCAUGUGUUAGACUGACUGGGUUGUCAUUUCUGUUUUCUCUGAAGUCUCGUCUAAAAUUUCUAUUCUUCUAGAACUGGGUUCACUCCAAACCAUAAAUUACAAAGCAUAGUUAAUAGUUUGGCGAUUUCAGAUCCAAGCUCCUUUUGAACCCUGGGGUGAAAAAUACAUUGUCCUGGCAGUCAGGUACUCUGCAGUUUACUGAAUGGCUCCAAAACCACAAACACUCAGUUUUGCAAAUAUGUUUUUUCUCAUCAUGCCCCUAAAAAAGGUUUUGUUGUAGCAAUCACCUCAAAAUCUGCCAAAAAGAACAGUGAUGGAAAAAAAGUACUUAAUUUUCUCCUGUUUUCCCUGAAUGCUUCUGUUACAUCUCUGUUGCCUGCUAGUUCCUCACAUUCUCUGGCAGAUCUGUUAUUGAUAUGUUUGGGGGAAAAAAUUAUGCUUCAAAAUAUUUUUUACCUGGUUUAUUAUGGUUUUGCUUUGCCAGUUUAUGCUACUUGCCAGAGUUUAUGUUUCUCCUUUUGGACAGAAACAGAGAAUAACAGUAUUCCACAAGUGAAUGCACAAGUGAACUUCAUAAAAUCACUUGGCUGUUUCCAGUGGGUAUCUAGAAGUACAACCUUGUGGUACUUUGAUGUGCAUUAAAGGCAAAGAAGUUUGUCAAAGGCUGGCUGGAGAAAAAAAGGACUUGGUGAAACGUGGUCCAGAAACUGUAAGUACUGAUGUUUCCAUUAUCUUUCAGUGCAUUUCUGAGCAUUAUCUAUUACAUAUAUUUAUAAAAGGGAUACAGCCAGCCUCCAGACUGGAUGAUAGCUGAAACAAGUUUAUUACCCAAAUUACUGUUUCACAGAAUUCUAACAAUUAAUACUGUGGAGCCCUAUGGCACCAGGUAUUGCACAAACUUAAAGAGAAGGUGAGUCCCUCUCCCAGGCAGCAAAAUUAUUCUGUCCCCAUAGCUUAGAACAUUGUUGAACACUUGUGUUCAGUGUUUAUGUCCAUACAAUGCACUAUGGAUAUAUCAACUGUGAUCCCAAAGCCAUAUUCCAGCACAUAUUUCUCUGCCAUUUAUGCUGAGCAGUGGCACUUCCCACAUGGGAUUUGGCCAACUUAAAGGUUAUUCCCUGAGUAAUGUGUGUGUGUUCUAAGGGCUUUGCUGAAUUAGGACCUUACUUUACAGAAAAUGUAUCUGCUAAUAAAUACAUGUUAUGCUUGAUCAAGCUUAGCAUUAAGUGCCUUGUCUCCUCUUUUCACAUCUAAACUCCACCUGUGGUGAGAGUAAUUUAUCUUGAAUUGCUUUAAUGCAGUGUUUAAGUAUGUCUUCUUGGCCACAAAGCAGUCUGCAUGUAUUUCUGUGAGAGGCUUAAAAUCCCAUUCACAUUUUUAAUAUACAGUUUUCUCACAUAAAUUAAUCACAGCUUGGUUGGCAGGUCUUGCAUGAGUAAUAAGGUUGUUGGCACAAACACAAACCACGGAUCUGUUAGGUAAAGGAGAAGCUUUUGUUUGCUUCUGUAUUUACACAAGAGGUUUAACUUGUACAAAAUGAUUUAAGGUAUUGGUGUUUUGCUAGCAGGACAUGACAAGCCGUGAGAUAACAUAUCCUCCCCAAAAUGCAUCAACAGAGUUACAAAUAAAUCCCCACACACUGGUUUGAAAAUUAAACUCUUGCUAUGCAAAGUAUUUUCACAAUAUGCAGCUUCCAUUGCUUAUAUACACAGGCAGACAACAGCCAGAAACUUACUGUUAUAUAAAAGGGCUAUGCUCUUGAAAGAGAGUUGAGCUGAAUGUACUUUUUACAUGAGAAAGGAAUGUGCUCUUUCGGGUAAAUAAUGACAAAGUGACAUUUCAGUUUGCUUUCUCUCUUUCAUUCAUAAUUUUGGGAAGUGAUUGCUCAGGGUAUAUAACAUGUAACCCAGAAUUCUGCAAAGUAAGUUUUUUUGCUGAAUUUUUCUGAGCAAUACCAGCACUCAAACAUUCUGCAGUGCAAUUUUGCUUCAUUGCUGUUGUAAGAGCACGAGCUGGAGAGCUUUGUCUCAAUAUCUGUUUAGUGCUCUUGCGAUGUAGGCCUGACCUGAAUUACUCUGCACAUGGUGGGAAUCUUCCACUGCCUUGAUUUAGGGCUUUGAAUAAAAUCUUCUGUAAACAACAAAAUGCAGAAAAGACAAUGUAUUGCAAGGAAUUAACUUUGGAAUGUAUAUAUAACAUCUGCAUUUGUCACAAAUUUUGUGUUAGAUCAGCAAAACAAAUCCCUUUGUAGCACUGCAAGGUUGCAUUUGCCAAAAUGAUGUGUAGUUCUAUGGUCACCACACUGAGUGCUUUGGGUUGCUCCUCCAUCACACACUGUUGAAAGCAAUGUAUCAAUUAUUGCUCUUCUCAGAUUGAACAUAACUGUAGCUUUGACACAAACAAUGCACAAGAAAAUUAUAUGAAAUUGUGAGAGACGGAAUUGGAAUCUUAAGUGCAAAUGUAUUGAAAUGUAUGUGUGCAAUUCACCAUGAACCAAAAGAGAAUUACCAGGAAACCAAGACAACUCUGCAGCCAAGGGUGCCUUUAAUGCACAGAAGAACAUAUGCCCUGCUCGAGAGGCUGGCAGCAGCUCACAAAGAGGAUACAGUUGCUGGAUGUCUCUACUUGCACCACAAUCAGUCUCUCAAUGUAACUACAGAGAUGUUCAGGAAGAGCUGGAGAAACAGGAGUGCAACAAGGAAUGGCUUUACUGACACUGUGUGUAUUAUUUUGGGGCUUUAUGAAAGCAUCAGUCUAGCAAUUGUUCAAUCCAUGGGAAUCAUUCACAUUUCAAGGUUUGUCAUCUUUUAGAUUUUUGUUAAUAAAAUAUAAUUUUACAAUUUA